GACGAACGCUGGCGGCGUGCCUAAUACAUGCAAGUCGAACGCAGUGGGGACGGGUGCGUAACACGUGGGUAACCUCCCAUCAGAGGGGAGAACACUUGGAUACAGGUGCUAAACCGAUACUGAAGGAGGGACCCGCGGGGCAUUAGCUAGUUGGUGAGGUAACGGCUCACCAAGGCCACGAUGCAUACCCGACCUGAGAGGGUGAUCGGCCACACUGGGACUGAGACACGGCCCAGACUCCUACGGGAGGCAGCAGUAGGGAAUCUUCGGCAAUGGACGAAAGUCUGACCGAGCAACGCCGCGUGAGUGAAGAAGGUUUUCGGAUCGUAAAACUCUGUUGUUAGAGAAGCGGUAUCUAACCAGAAAGCCACGGCUAACUACGUGCCAGCAGCCGCGGUAAUAC
rnacentral:rRNA from 1 species